GUCUAUGGCCAUGCUACCCUGCACAAGCCUGAUCCCGUCUGAUCUCAGAAGCUAAGCAGGGUCAGUACUUGGAUGGGAGACCACCUAGGAAGACCUGGUGCUGUAGGCC
rnacentral:rRNA from 1 species